rnacentral:lncRNA from 1 species
GUUUAUAUUAAUUAUUCUUGUUCAAUUUUCAAAGUAUCCAUUGUCUAUCAUUUGUGUGUCUAAAGCUUUCCUAGAAUACCAUUUUUUUUUCUGUUUUUGUCAUUAUCUAGCAGAAACUGCAAAUGGAUUUCCAUAGAAGUAGAAUUUGGCAGAAAAUUUUUGGAUUAAUAGCCAUAUGAAAGAUUCAGAUGGAAAAGCUUUUGUACACAAAUCUUUCUUGUUCUUUAGAAUGUGUUGCCAAAAAAACACUGAAGACAAGAUUUUGUAGUUUGUGUCUGCAAAAGGUAUUUGUGACUUUUGAAGUAUAUUAUUACUACAUGCUGGAAGAAGUUCAAGGCUAACAAGUGAGAUUCUCCCGAAGAAGGUUGAGUAUUCGUUUUGGAAAGGAUCUUGUCUAAAAUUAAUGCUGUCACAGAACAAUUCAUUUAAUAUCCAAAGUCCCUGAAAGAUGACAGAAAUAUGAAGAUUGCUUGCAAUAUGGAAGAAGCUGAAAAUGGACAUGAGAGAGAACAGGAGGAAAUGCAGUAUGGUACUUUCAAAAGUAAUUGGUCAGGAGAAAAUUACUGCAAACGUAGAUACUUACUGGAAGGAAACUGCAGAAAUGACAGAAAUGGCCUAGAGAUGACAACACAUUUAAAAAUGAGAAGUGCUUAA